UUUUAUUUCAUUUGCCUUUUUGGGACUAUCGGGGAACGAUACGUCAGAUGUUUCUGACGGUGGCCUGGUUGUUGGCCCACCAAAGUUGGCUGGUAGGAACAUGAGGUGAAUAUUUUAACAAAUCUCUCGAGUCGAAGUAUCGCGCAUUUCAGAUGGUGGUACAUAUUCUUAUGACGGCGACAUUCUAACUGUAGGAUGUGAAGUGGGUCUGUCUAGACUUCUCGAUAGAAAGCCGAAUCAGUGUAUAUGUAAUUCCAUAAAUGGUGUCUCCUAAUAGUUGUUGUGUUUAACUAAUCUAUCUUUAGGUAUGUAUGCGCUUUAUUUUUAUCGUACCAAUGUUUAUCUGAGAUAUAGUGUUUGAAUUGUUAAGGUGUAGUUGUAUGUUAUAAAUUUGGGCUGCUUGUUUCACUCAACUGGCUGACAUUAUAUAUCCUUGAUCAUGUUUUGUCAUUCUUAACCGGUAGUCGUCGUCAGCAUCGUUGGGAAGGAUUCUCUCUCUAGGACCAUGUUUCUGCAUAGCAAGUCUUCUACGAUAUUUGUUGGACAAACUGGAUUCUGAGGUCAAAUCAUGUUUCCUUGAUAAAAAACACUCCAGAGAAAGACGACUGAUUUUUUGUCUUAUAUAUGAUCAAAUUGUUGAAAUGGCUAGAAAUACAUAGUAAUAAUAUGAUCUUAUCCUAAUAUUUUUUUGUGUUUAACUAAUCUAUCUUCAGGUAUAUAUGCAUUUUAUUAUUAGGAAAGUUUACUUAAACAACACACAAUUUUAGGACUUAUUAUCAAAACCAUACAAAACUUUUUUUUAUUACUGGCAUUUUCUAAGGCCACCUCCAAGGGGGUCUUUUAAAAGAGGUUCUUAGAAAAAAACCAAAAAAAUAAAUGAAAAAUGAAAUAAAAGCACAUAACCGGUUCUAAUUAUGGCAUUUUUAGAACUAGCCCAUAAGUGUCCUUUUUUCUAUUGGCUAAUUGAUUUGUCCAUGUCUCUCUCUUCGUCGAUGUUUUCCACGGAAGAGUUUUCUAUCUUCCUCCUCCAAUCCCAAUCACUCCAUCUUCUCUGUGGCUUCUGAUCGCGAUCUCCUUCUUGGCAAGUCUUCAGCUUCUUUCUCUUUCCUCUGUAUUCUCGCCGUUUGUUCUCUCUUCAUCGCUUGGAAUCAUCCAGAAAAUGUUGUUAGGUUGAUUUUUUUUCCUCUGUAGCACCCAGCUCGUGUUUAAGAGAUAUUUCCAUCGUAUUUCUUCAUAAAGCUUUGUCCUUUCUAUGGUUAAUGUGGUGAAAGUGAAGACAUUUAGUUUGGAUUCUGUUAUGGGGUCAAAAUCUCAUGAAAUGAAACUGCAUAAGUCUUAUUAGGUGAUAAAAAGACUUUUUUUUGGCGUGGCAAGGAGUGAAAUGGCUCUUAUACAAUUUUGAAGCUCGUGUGUUGUUGCUCAGUGGGGGAUUCGUCGUCCUCAGGUUGCAGUUAAAGCUUCUUUUUAUCCAACCAGAUUGGAAUCUCACCUAGACAACAACGUGGGAGACGCUGGAGUUUCCUCUGUGGCCAAAGCUUGUGCGUCUUCGCUCAAGACGCUCAAGUUGCUAGACUGUUACAAAGUUGGGGAUGAAUCUAUAUCCUCCCUGGCUCAGUUCUAAUAGAAUCUGGAGACUCUGAUCAUCGGUGGAUGCAGAGACAUCUCUGAUGAGUCAAUUAUAUUAAUGGUGGAUUCUUAUAGUGUUGACUACAGGGAAUGCACUAACUUGUUGGUGGACUCUGCUCAUUGUCAUCUUGGACGACUGAGUUUUGAGUAGUGAUCUUGAAUAAGAAUCUUGAGAGAGAUUGUGAGGGAUGGUGAUGAUGAAACCUGUGUGGUGUCAUGGAUGGGGUCAUCAAGUCGCAUAGAUAAAGCUACUUUCUUUGGUGUUAAAAAGCAAUGAAUGAGAAGAAGAUCAAGCAUAUGCUCUUUUUUUGAAAUCAAGGUUUUACAAUAUAUUUUAGUUCAAUAACUGAUAAAAUGUGUUAGUAUUUUUGUUUGAGUUUGCUUUUCCAAAUUUCAAAAACAAUUCAGCAGUGCAAAAGUAAUUUCAAUCAUUUCUCUUAAAA